rnacentral:rRNA from 1 species
AAUCAACGCUGGCGGCGUGCCUAACACAUGCAAGUCGAACGCGAAAGGGACUUCGGUCCUGAGUAGAGUGGCGAACGGGUGAGUAACACGUGGGUGACCUACCUUCGAAUGGGGGAUAACGUCCCGAAAGGGACGCUAAUACCGCAUAACAUCCUGUCCUUGAACGGAUGGUGAUCAAAGCCGGGGAUCGCAAGACCUGGCGUUUGAAGAGGGGCCCGCGUCCGAUUAGCUAGUUGGUGAGGUAACGGCUCACCAAGGCAACGAUCGGUAACCGGCCUGAGAGGGCGGACGGUCACACUGGGACUGAGACACGGCCCAGACUCCUACGGGAGGCAGCAGUGGGGAAUUGUUCACAAUGGGCGCAAGCCUGAUGACGCAACGCCGCGUGGAGGAUGAGGGUCUUCGGAUUGUAAACUCCUGUUGCCCGGGACGAAAUGCUUUGACCUAACACGUCAAAGUUUGACGGUACCGGGUGAGGAAGCCCCGGCUAACUCUGUGCCAGCAGCCGCCGCCGUAAG